UACGUAGGGUGCAAGCGUUGUCCGGAAUUAUUGGGCGUAAAGAGCUCGUAGGCGGUUUGUUGCGUCGGCUGUGAAAUCCCGAGGCUCAACCUCGGGUCUGCAGUCGAUACGAGCAAACUAGAGUGUUGCAGGGGAGACUGGAAUCCUGGUGUAGCGGUGAAAUGCGCAGAUAUCAGGAGGAACACCGGUGGCGAAGGCGGGUCUCUGGGCAACAACUGACGCUGGAGG
rnacentral:rRNA from 1 species